ensembl:miRNA
GCUCUUUGCUUUCAGCUUCUUUACAGUGCUGCCUUGUUGCAUUCAGAUCAAGCAGCAUUGUACAGGGCUAUGAAAGAAUUGAGACCUGUUCUUCA